UACGUAGGGUGCAAGCGUUGUCCGGAAUUAUUGGGCGUAAAGAGCUCGUAGGCGGUCUGUCGCGUCGGCUGUGAAAACCCGGAGCUCAACUCCGGGCCUGCAGUCGAUACGGGCAGACUGGAGUUCGGCAGGGGAGACUGGAAUUCCUGGUGUAGUGGUGAAAUGCGUAGAGAUCCGGAGGAACACCAGUGGCGAAGGCGGGUCUCUGGGCCGAUACUGACGCUGAGGAGCGAAAGCGUGGGGAGCGAACAGG
rnacentral:rRNA from 1 species